GAUGAACGCUGGCGGCGUGCUUAACACAUGCAAGUCGAACGGAAAGGCCCUGCUUUUGUGGGGUGCUCGAGUGGCGAACGGGUGAGUAACACGUGAGUAACCUGCCCUUGACUUUGGGAUAACUUCAGGAAACUGGGGCUAAUACCGGAUAGGAGCUCCUGCUGCAUGGUGGGGGUUGGAAAGUUUCGGCGGUUGGGGAUGGACUCGCGGCUUAUCAGCUUGUUGGUGGGGUAGUGGCUUACCAAGGCUUUGACGGGUAGCCGGCCUGAGAGGGUGACCGGCCACAUUGGGACUGAGAUACGGCCCAGACUCCUACGGGGGGCAGAAGUGGGGAAUAUUGCACAAUGGGCGGAAGCCUGAUGCAGCAACGCCGCGUGCGGGAUGACGGCCUUCGGGUUGUAAACCGCUUUCGCCUGUGACGAAGCGUGAGUGACGGUAAUGGGUAAAGAAGCACCGGCUAACUACGUG
rnacentral:rRNA from 1 species